ACACUUUAAUGGGAGACAAUGAUGAUGAUUUUGAUAAAGAUGAAGCUUGUAGGUACUUAAAAAUCGGCUUACUUUGCACCCAAAGACUUCAAAAAAACAGACCAUCAAUGUCUAAUGUGAUGAUGAUGUUAAAUGAUGAAAAGGACCUUGAUGAAAAAGAUUUAUCUGAUCCGGGGUUAAUUUCAGAGUUAACAAAGUUUAAAUCCAAUAAAAAUAACACAUCAGGUACUGCUACAUCAUCUAGCCACUCGGGAAAACAAGAGGAUAAGGAUUCCUCAUUGUAUGGAGACACAACAUCAUCGUACGCUACUAUGAAUUUUACCACAAUUAUUGGUCGAUGAUUGUACGAUACACCAUUAUUAUGUCUUUUGUAUGGUAAUAAAUCUUCCUAUUCUAAUAAAUGAAUAUGUUUAUUCUUCUAUUGACAAGUAUUAUACUAUUAGAAUUUCUCAUUAAUAACUAUAUGUAACAUAUCAUGCCACUUGUCAAAUUAUUAAUUAUCAAUUUCAAAUUUCAAAUUUAAAUUUUCCACUCUAAUUACAUUAAAUCUUCCUAUUUUAAUAAAUAAAUAGGUUUAUUCUCCUAUUGACAAGUGUAAUAUUAUUAGAAAUUCUCAUUAAUAAUUAUAUGUAACAUAUCAUGCNAAUUAAUAACAUUAAAUUAAAAAAAUAAAAUAAAAUCAAUACAGACUAUAAGGUGAUAUAACUUUACAUAUUUGUUUAAAUCAACAAUUAUAAUUCUAUAUAAUUAAAAAAAUAUCUCUUAAGUAAUAAUUUAUUUGAAAUAAUUGAUUAUUAAUUUUGAUUUUUUAAUAUAAAAGUUUAAUUAAUUUUAUAACCGUGGUUCUCACGGGUUAUAAACUAAUUCUUUAUAAAGAAAAUGAAAAAAAAUGAAUAGUAAUUACAAGUUUGCCAUUUAGACAUCAUGCCAAGAGUGGUGGAGGAUUGUUGAUUUUUUUGGCCUCAUAUUCACUUAAUAUGUGAAUGUUAAACUGUGUCUUGCUUAUAGUAUUUUUAAGUGUUAGAUUGUUAGAUUCACAUUGUGAAAAUCGUCUAUAUUCACAUUUAGACACUCCGCCAUUUCUAUCCAGAUUUCCAUGUUUUGAAGCUCUAUUCCACCAUUUCCAAACAAAUCUUUGUAUAGAUGUGAAAGCAUUACGGUCACAAACUACUUCAAUUUAUGCUAAAAGUUGACCAAAUCCUUAGUCACUGAGAGAGGGAGUUGUACAUGGUGGUGCAAAUAUUAUGUACAGAGGUGGAAUCUGGCAGAAAGAUAAGGAACGGUGGUGUGAGUGGCCGAUGGUUAAGUUUCAUCAAACAAUGACAAGGAGUAUGCUCUAGUUUGGCCGAUAAUCAACUUUGUUUCUAUUUUGGUGCAUGGUGAAGAUACUGGAAUUCGAUUGAAGUAUUUUUCCCACUUUUAAACAACUGAGAGAGAGAGAGAGCCUUUUUUAUUUUUAAUUGAUUAAAAACAUUAAAAUAGGAAAAAAGAAAUCAUAAGGGCAAAAAAGUCAAUUUAAGUGCAAAAGGACUAAAUUCACUGAAAAGAUCUGAAAUUGGACCAUUUAUGCAUCACUAAACUUUUUUGGACAAAAACUACUACAAAGACUAUUUUUUCAAUUCUCAAAAAAAAUAUUUUGACAAAAUUGCAAAAAUGGUCCAUAUGUUUGUCAAAAUUAUAUGGUUUGGUCCAAAAACGUUUGUUGGUGCAUGAGUGGUCCAAUCUUGGAUCCUUUUAGUGAUUUUGGUCCCUAUACACUUGAAAUUACUUUUAUGCCCUUAUAAUUUAUAUUUUCUAUUUUCUUUAAGUGCUAAAAUGCUUUAAAUAAAUUAAAUUUUCUUUCAUUUAAUUAAAUAAAAUAAAAAUAAAAACUUAACCCACCAUCUCAUCCCUCUCAUAGUAUUGAGGAUGAGAGAAUCCCAAUCAUCACCACCUCUCUCCAUCACCGGUGUCUGUAACCACCGUCGGCGGCUUCCAUUCUCACCGGAGUUACCCGGUUCACGACCACCACCCACUUAUCUCUCUCCGCAUGACACCACUUAACUUUACUUCUUUCUAUCUUUUUCAAAACAAACACUAACACACGGUCUCAAGAACACAUGCUCACCAACUCAAGAACACCCACACCGGAAAACACCGACAACAAGCCGGAAACCAACACCACCCGCUCCCCUCCCAUAUCUAAACCUAGUAAUGCAAGGGGUGCUCAAACCUACAAAUUAAAACCAAACAUCAUGCCCAAAACAAACCCAGAAAUUAACCUCAUAAAUCAUUGAUGAAAUCAAAUCAAAUACCCAACUCUAUCUCUACCGAUAAGCAACCGAUUCAAGACUUAAUCUUCAUCAUUUUCUUCCUUAAUUUAUGUAACAGGCAAGCCAAAAGAACAUUAUCCCUUUCUUUUCCUACAACUCCAAUGAUUUCAGUAAAGUCAUCCGUCACCACCGUAUCCUCCACCACUACAAGCUACUUCCUAUAAAAUCUAUGAACCCCCUCGUUCUCUUUCCUCUCUUUCUUUACUCCGCUACCGACUUUUGAUUUUGGAUCCAGAAACCAAAUCGAAAACGAUUUUAAGAUUUGAUUUUAGUGGAAAUUUCGUGUAACACCCAGAAUUUGAGGAGCAACUUUGGAUAUAAAUCAACUUUUGGGGAUUGGACACGGCGUGUUGGAGGCACCAACACGACGUGUCGAGAUAAGAAAAUACACGGGUCUCAUUAAGAGCAACACGGUGUGUUGCCUCCUGGAACACAAUGUGCUGGUCGUUGGAAAUGAAACCCUAAUCUUUCGGGUUUGCUCUCUAUUUAAAGGAAUGAGAUGGCUAGGGUUUGUUCACCCUCAACCCUCAAGCCUUGAAGGAAAUUCUAAUCAUCAUUCCCUCUCAUUUGUGAGCUAGUGUAGUGUUUUGGAGCCAAGGAAGGAAGAUAUUGGAAGAAGGAAGGCAAGAUCCAGCAAGCAAGUCCCUCAUCUUUCAACUUGGCACCCUUCUGGACCUUUGUAAGCUUCCAAUAUCCGAUUUUUAUCAUUCCAUGUUGCUAGAUCUUGGGUUUUGUCCCUUAGCUUCUUAUUCUUGAGAGUUGGAAGGGUUAGAUCUCAUAAAGUUUGCAACAUUUUGGAAUCCCCAGGUCAAGGUGACCUUGUAGAGUAUUGGAUAUGGCUUAUAAUUGAGUUUUGAUGUCAUGCAUUGAGAUUAGUUAAUAAUUCUCAUUAUUGACCUGAUAUGGGUUCAAGACAUGCAUCGGACAUGCAUGUCUAUAACGCACCGACCUCUGGAUGGUUUUAGUGCUAGAACCUCUUCUGGAAAGUAUUGGGCAUCAACUUUAAGGAUUGAGUGCUUAUUGGUUAAGUCAUUGCACCUUCUAGCCUCAUAGAUGGGUUUUGGUCCCUUUGGAGUAGUCCUAGAGAAUAAAGUUGGAAACUUUAUCCUCCUUCAUAUUAUUUUGGUUUAGAUUUGAGCUUUGGAGCUUUGUGAAUCAAAGGAAAUAGGUUAAUGGAUUAAGCUGCUGGAACUUUGGCAGACACGGUGUGCUUGCAAGUCAACACGCAUGUUGGAUGGGGUUUUCCCGACUGUUUGGAUGCGGAAGGAACACGAUGUGUUUGCAAGGCAACACAACAUUUUGGAGUCAACAUGGAAUAUUGACUUUGACUUUUGACUUUGACCAAUUUUGACCUUGAGGGGCAUUCAGGGUAUUUUGGGAUUUUGAUGGUUAUUGGUCACUUGGAUGGAUAGGUAUUGAUUGGAGAUGAGAUUUGGAGUCGGGACCUUAUCAGCUAUAGAGCAAAUCAAGAGGUGAGUUUUCCUCGCUAUACUUUCGGGUCGAAUGCACCAAGGUCGGCCCAUUGGUUUGAUAACUUGAUAUUGUUGAUAUGCUGAGUACCAAAUACGAGCUGAGGACCCGGUGGUAUGCCAGACUCGUACUGAGGGCUUGAGGGUAUUGGAGAAAUCUAGAUAUGAGCUAAGGGUCGGGUCGGGUAGAGCAUGCCAGACUCAUACUGAGGGCUCAGUAGCAUUCCAGAUACGAGCUGAGGGUUGGUUGGUAUGCCAGACUCGUACUGCGGGUUGAACAUUGGAUGCCAGUCUAAUGACUGAUUGGGCUAGGGAGCAAGCCAGACAUAAUCUGUGGGCCCAAGGGCAAGCCAAACUUAUGUUGUAGGCUCAAGAGCAAGCUAGAUACGAGUUGUGGGCCCGAUAGGCAAGCCAGACUCAUAUUGUGGGCUCAAGGGUAAUCCAGUCUUUUAGCUGUGAACCCAAUACAUGUUGUUAUAUUAUGUGUGCUAUUUGAUGGUAUGUUGGUACUUUGGGGAAACUCCCUAAGCUUCGUGCUUACGGUUUUGGUUUAUGGUUUCAGGUACUUCAGUGGUCUGUGACAAGGAGAAGGCGUGAUUGUAUAUAUCCUCGUGUUUUUAGAACUUAUGAUUUCUGGAAAACUCUGACAAUGAAAAUGUUUUGAAAACUAUGUUGUAAACGAUUCCAAUUUUAAAUAAUGUUUUGGAUAAUAGUUUCUAGACACUUUUAUUAAUAAAGGGGUUAUUUUUUAAAGGUUUAAAUUUAUUGAAAUUUUUGGGAUGUUUCAUUUCGAUGUGGACUUUAAUUUUCAGAUUUAAGUUCAUCAGAAAGCACCGUUGUGGUGAAACGACUCAACCAUCAACAACCCUAUCGAUUGGGUAGAGGUCAAUGUAGGCGAAGAAGGAAAUGGGUGAAGAUGGAGGUUUGGGAUGGCAACCGUCUUGAAGGCGUAGGAGAUGAAAAUGUAUGCACUAGAAAAAUCUCAAUCGAAAAAGGUUGCUCCAACGAACUCGACAGCGGGGAAGCCAGGGUUCCAGCUGAAGAUUUGGUGGUGGCGGUGUGGGGUUGACUUUGUUUUUGGUGGCAGUGGUUCCAAUUGGGGAGAUAACGUCCAAGAGAGAGAUAGAGAGAGAAAGAGAGAUUUAUUUUGUUUGUGUUUUUUUAAAUUACAAGAAUAAAGAAAAUAAAUAAAUAAAUUGAAAAAUAAUUAUUUAAAGGGCAUAUUAGUCAUUUUAGGUUGGUGUGGACCAAAAAUACAAAAAAUACCAACUAUAAGGACUAAAGCCACACAAGGUAUUCAAAAUUGGACCACUGAUGCAUCACCAAAUCUUUUUAGACAAAAACUACAUAAUUUUGACAAGCACAGGGACCAUCUUUGCAAUUUUGUCAAAUAUUUUUUUCUCUAACCGGAAUGUUAAUUCCGGACUUGGUGUUUACUUUUGUCAAAAAUAAUUUUUUUUUGAUAGCAUGUGCUAAAAGAUUGCCAAGUCAUAUUUUUUUGGACACUAAGCAUAACAUGAUGAUAUGGAGUGGUGAUGUGUUUAAAAGGUAAUUCCUUUUUUUCUUUAAUUAAAUAAAUGUUUAUUUAAAUAUUUAAAUAACAUAAACUUUAAAAUAAAAUACAAGUUGCUAAGCUGGAAGUACAUGCAUCUAAAGCUGGAAUAAUGAAAAGGUGAGAUGAGACCAUUUUUUUUCCUCAUCAUGUACUCUUUCUUCUCGUCAAGGGUAUGACGCACAUGAUUUAACAAAUGGGUUUAGCGAACUCUUCGGAUGUAGUAGUGAGGAUGCCACAUAAGCUUAGCGAGGGAGUGGCGACCACUCCCUUUAGCCUAAUAGAUUAAUUUAGAGUAAAUUAAUCGCCUCAUAGAGUUUACAAUAUAUUCCCCAUUUGGUGAUACGGUGAAAUUCAUGACAAGGAUUUAUAUGGCCGCUCAUAAAAUAUUCCUAGUUGACACGUGAGAAUUAGAAAAAAAAAAUAAUAAAUAAUAACCCAAUAGCCCAAAUGAAAUAAAAUUGAAAGGAGAAAUCAUGAUGGGAAUCGUUUGAUUUCAUUUGAUCAUAGGAUCGAAUGUUGAGAAUUAGAAAAAAAUAAUAAUAAUAACAACCCAAAAACCCAAAUAAAAUAAAAAGGAAAGGAGAAAUCAUAAUGGGAAUCGUUUGAAUUUCAUUUUAUUUUAUAUAUGAUCGAAUGUUGAGGAUUAGAAAAAAAACAAUAAUAAAUAAAUAGCCUAAAACCCAAAUAAAAUAAAAAGGAAAGGAGAAAUCAUGAUCGAAACAUUAUUGUGGUCGUACUAGUCGUCUACUGUAAUCCUGAGGAGCGUGGGACCUGUUCUUCAACGCACACCCUGCGAGCUACUGGUCUACCUGUUCGCAAAAAGUCAAAGCAAGCUUUCGUGUUCAAAGUCUUCUAUCAUUCUUCCAUCUCCUUUAUUGACAUUUCUCUUCUUCACACGCCGAUGAACUUGAUAACAUUCCUUUGGUCAGUUCUGUUGUUCAUAUGCUUCUUUAAUCGAUUUUAUAUUCCUUUCCUUUUUCUGUAUUCAAAUUCAUAACAAAUUUAGCUCCAUCGAUUUCAUACUUCUACUUCUCUCAUGUGUAUGUAUCUACCCUACAACGGAUGAACUAUAUCUUGUGAUUCAUUUACAGAGCUUAUUGUCUAGAGAAUUUUGCAGACUUUGAGCGCAAUCCGGUUUUGAACUGUACGGAGCUUGUCGAGAAGUGAUAUAUCGCCCUUUUGGUUUUAAAUCCAUCCAGGAUCCUGAACUUGAUGUAAUUGCCCUAAUUUUGAGAUGAAUUUCAUUCCGUUUAUGUUGUUGUUGCCCUGAAUUUGAAUUUUCGUGGCAUGAUGAGAUAAAUUAGUACUUAAGGUUGAUGAUCUGUGAUAAAUCUUCUGCUUAUGAUUUAUAUUUUCAUCUUCAGUGAUACAUUAGAAUUGUUUUGUGUAUACAGAUUCAUUUUGGCGUCUCAGGCAAUUGAUAGAAUCUACUAGUCAGCAUAGAGAACUCCUUGUUAUGGAUAAAUUCAGUUGUUGUUUUUGGAAGGCAGCUCCCCCCAAAAAUGGUGUUCAUGGUAAAAUCUUAACUUGAGAGUUUCAUAACUCCUUUUUUCCACUUACAUAUUCUUGUUCAAUGCUAAUCAUUUUCUUGAAAAUUCUCAGCAAACAAUGGGGGAAGCAACAUUGAUCUUAGUGUAGGUAAGACCACCUCUAAAAGAUCAUUGGCAAAAACCUUGGUUUUGGUUUCAUAAGAAUUGUUGUGACUUUACACUUUACAUCACAUAUACUUAUUUGAAUGCAGAACUUUUGGAUGUUGAAAAUAUGAGAUUGUAUAAAUACAAAGAUUUGCAAAUCGCUACUGGAGAUUUUAAACCUGAAAAUAAGAUAGGGCAAGGGGGUUUUGGUUCUGUUUACAAGGUAAAUUUCAAAAUUUUCUAAUCAUUUUCCUUCAUGUGUUUAGAUUAUCAUUAAACUACUUACUAAUACCUUAAAUAUAAAUUUGUUAAUCUCUAGGGAUUACUAAAAGAUGGAAAAAUAGUUGCUAUAAAGGUUCUUUCUGCUGAAUCAAGACAGGGUUUGCGAGAAUUCUUGACUGAAAUAACUAUUAUUUCAGAUAUACAACAUGAAAAUUUGGUAAAGUUACAUGGUUAUUGUGUGGAGAAAGAUCAUAGAAUCUUGGUUUAUGGGUAUCUCAAAAACAGUAGUCUAGAUCAAACCCUACUUGGUAAUUGAAAUUCGACACAUCUUUUUUCAUCCUUUGUAUUUUUUUUUUAAAUGAUUUUGGUUUUUUGUUAUAGGGGGGAAUCAUUGUAGCAUUAAAUUCACAUGGGAAAUUCGAAGGAAGAUUUGUAUAGGUGUUGCAAAAGGGCUUACUUAUCUUCAUGAAGAAGUGCAACCUCAUGUCAUUCAUAGAGAUAUUAAAGCAAGCAAUAUUUUACUCGAUGAAGAUUUUACACCAAAGAUUUCGGAUUUUGGUCUUGCAAAGCUUUUCCCAUCUCAUUUGACUCAUGUUAGCACACGUAUUGCUGGAACUCAGUAAGCUUUAUUUACAUCUUAAAAACAUAAUAUCACUUCCAGAUAUUAUUAAACAUUUCCACUAAUGUUUUGGUAAUGACUUAUUGUAGAGGCUAUUUGGCUCCUGAAUAUGCAAUAAGAGGCCAAUUGACAAGGAAAGCAGAUAUUUACAGUUUUGGUAUUUUGCUUUUGGAAAUUGUUACCGGAAGACCCAAUCAAAACAAACGGUUACCAGUUGAAGAACAAUAUCUUCUUGAAAGGGUAUGCAAUGUUUUAUUUACUUUCCUACUACAACAUGAAAUUUCUCAUUUAAGUAAUUGCUAUUAGCAUGAAACUUUCACACCUAUCUUUAGCAUACACACAAUAUUCACAAAGGGAACAAAGAAUUGUUGAUAUUGAUUUGGGUCCACAAGAUUCUUUUAUUGUGUCAUUAUGAAAACCAAAUUCAUCAAAUUCAAUAGUACAUUUAUUAUCACGAGUAAAUUUUCCGACAUAAAUGAGAUUUUUAAUUAGUUAAGGGGUUAUGAGAACGUUUUUUAGGGAUCGUGACCAAGGUUAGUGUUACCCGAGUGAGUAACAGGAAUUCGAGAUCCAUCACCUACUAAAAAUUACUAAAAGUGGAAAAAAAAUUGCACUUGUUGCUAGAAUAUACAACAUAAAUACAUCUAAUAGGUACAUUGUAGGAAAUAAAAAUGCACUUCACUCUUUUCAUAAUUAUAUGCAAUAUACUUCAUUUUUUUUAAUCUAUAAUAGCAAUGCACUUAUAUUAUUUCCCGAUAGUAGUAAUAUGUAAUAUGAAAUUCGUGAAAUGUAUUUAUUUUUUACCCAUAACAACAACAUACUUACAUUUCUUUACACAUUUAGGUGAUAUUUGUUUUUCGAAGCUAAAAUGUCUGUAGUCUGCGGACCACAUCUGCAACCCUUUGCAGCGAAGUGGUGGACCAAACGUCUACAAACUACAAUAAGAAGUUUGUUUGUUUUUUUAACGUCUACAGGCUGCUGAAAUAAAAAGAAAUUAACCAUACAAUAGUUAAAAAAAAAAUCUAAAUCAAAUAUUUAUUUAGUUUUAAUCAUAUGCAAAUCGAAUAUAAAGAUCAUUAUGAUGAUAUGAUUUGUAAAGACGUUUGUAUAAAAUAACUAAACAUAAUAAUUGCUAAAUAACAAUAAAUAAAAUUAUUAAUUUAGCAAACAACAUCUUCAUUUUGUUAAAUUUUCCAAAACGAUGGUUAUUUCUUUGGUACCUUCAAUAGAUUUGGUAAUUUUAGUGAAUAACUUUUUAAUUUAUUUGGUUAUAGACAAUGUAACACAACAAAAAUGUUAUAUAAAAUUUACCAAACGGUUUUGAAAUUAUGUAAAGUAUAUAUUUGCAUUGUUUAUAAUAUACUUCAUAAUAUUAUUAAAUUAAUAAACAUGUUGAAAAUUUAAAACAAAUUUAUAUUGAAUAAUAUAACUUAAAGGUGGGAAGUGGCUUUGACGAGGAGGGUCCAGUGUUGCGCGAUGCAGCACAUGCGCAACAGUUUUUAAGUCAAGAGUCUUUUAAAAAACAAACAACUGCGAAAGGCCAAAUGUUGCACGUGUUUUGUGUGGCGCAGCCAGAAGUGAUCAGAAGUGGUUUUUAAAAAAACAAACAAACAGCUCCUUAUUCUUUAUAGCAACGUACUUAUAAUUCUUUAUUCUUUAUAGCAAUUUACUUACAUUUUUUAACCGAUAGUGGCAAUAUUUAACAUGAAACUCGAAAUAUACUUAAGUUUUUGCCCAUAAUACCAAAUACUUACAUUUCACUACACAUGAUAGCAAUGUAUUUAUAAUUCUUCACUCAUUAUAGCAAUGUAGUUAUAUUUAUUUAUUUAUUUUAAUAUAUUUUUUUUCAGGUAUGGGAACUAUAUAGGGAAGGGGAGCUAGAAAGGUUGGUUGACACUUCAAUGGAAGAUAAUGAUGAGGAUUAUGAUAAAGAUGAAGCUUGUAGGUACUUAAAAAUUGGGUUACUUUGCACCCAAAGUCUUCCAAAAAACAGACCAUCAAUGUCUAGUGUGAUGAUGAUGUUAAAUGACGAAAUGGACCUUGAUGAAAAAGAUUUAUCUGAUCCAGGGUUAAUUUCAGAGUUGAAAAACUUUAAAUCCAAUAAAACUACCAACACAUCAGGUAACAACACAUCAUCUAGUAACUCAGGAAAACAGGAGGAUAAGGAUUCCUCAUUGUAUGGACACUC
rnacentral:lncRNA from 1 species